rnacentral:tRNA from 1 species
CCUCAAAUAGCUCAGUUGGUAGAGCGGUGGACUGUAGUUGUUAAUUUGAGAGUCAUCCAUAGGUCGCUGGUUCAAAUCCGGCUUUGAGGA